ACUACCGGCGCACGGGUGCGCACCGCGUAUGGAACCUACCUUGUACAGGGGAAUAGCCUUUGGAAACGAAGAUUAAUGCCCCGUGGUACCAUGACCCGGCAUCGGGAUAUGGUUAAAGCCUUCGGGCGGUACAAGAUGGCCAUGCGUCCCAUUAGCUAGUUGGUAAGGUAACGGCUUACCAAGGCUACGAUGGGUAGGGGCCCUGAGAGGGGGAUCCCCCACACUGGUACUGAGACACGGACCAGACUCCUACGGGAGGCAGCAGUGAGGAAUAUUGGACAAUGGAGGAGACUCUGAUCCAGCCAUGCCGCGUGCAGGAAGAAUGCCCUAUGGGUAGUAAACUGCUUUUAUACGGGAAGAAAAAGAGCUACGUGUAGCUUACUGACGGUACCGUAAGAAUAAGGACCGGCUAACUCCGUGCCAGCAGCCGCGGUAAUACGGAGGGUCCGAGCGUUAUCCGGAAUUAUUGGGUUUAAAGGGUCCGUAGGCGGGCCGAUAAGUCAGGGGUGAAAGUUUGCAGCUCAACUGUAAAAUUGCCUUUGAUACUGUUGGUCUUGAGUUAUAGUGAAGUUGCCGGAAUAUGUAGUGUAGCGGUGAAAUGCAUAGAUAUUACAUAGAACACCGAUUGCGAAGGCAGGUGACUAACUAUAUACUGACGCUGAUGGACGAAAGCGUGGGGAGCGAACAGGAUUAGAUACCCUGGUAGUCCACGCCGUAAACGAUGGAUACUAGCUGUCCGGGACCUUGAGUUCUGGGCGGCCAAGCGAAAGUGAUAAGUAUCCCACCUGGGGAGUACGUUCGCAAGAAUGAAACUCAAAGGAAUUGACGGGGGCCCGCACAAGCGGUGGAGCAUGUGGUUUAAUUCGAUGAUACGCGAGGAACCUUACCAGGGCUUAAAUGCAUAUUGACAGGUCUAGAGAUAGAUUUUCCUUCGGGCAAUUUGCAAGGUGCUGCAUGGUUGUCGUCAGCUCGUGCCGUGAGGUGUCAGGUUAAGUCCUAUAACGAGCGCAACCCCUACCGUUAGUUGCCAGCAUGUCAUGAUGGGGACUCUAACGGGACUGCCGGUGCAAACCGUGAGGAAGGUGGGGAUGACGUCAAAUCAUCACGGCCCUUACGUCCUGGGCCACACACGUGCUACAAUGGCAGGUACAGAGAGCAGCCACGUCGCAAGGCGGAGCGAAUCUAUAAAACCUGUCACAGUUCGGAUCGGGGUCUGCAACUCGACCCCGUGAAGCUGGAAUCGCUAGUAAUCGGAUAUCAGCCAUGAUCCGGUGAAUACGUUCCCGGGCCUUGUACACACCGCCCGUCAAGCCAUGGAAGCCGGGAGUGCCUGAAGUCCGUCACCGUAAGGAGCGGCCUAGGGCAAGAUCGGUAACUAGGGCUAAGUCGGAACAAGGUA
rnacentral:rRNA from 1 species